rnacentral:rRNA from 1 species
AACUCGACUACAUGAAGCUGGAAUCGCUAGUAAUCGCGAAUCAGCAUGUCGCGGUGAAUACGUUCCCGGGCCUUGUACACACCGCCCGUCACACCAUGGGAGCCGGUAACACCCGAAGUCAGUAGCCUAACAGCAAUGAGGGCGCUGCCGAAGGUGGGAUUGGUGACUGGGGUGAAGUCGUAACAAGGUAAC